rnacentral:lncRNA from 1 species
GGGAAGAACCUGCUUGUGUCUCCCGAAGCUCCCCUCGGAAACCCGCAGAUAGCGGGGCAGUUGAUGGAUGCUUGGAAGCUGGCGUGCUUUUUCGGAAAUGUUUUGCCACCUGAGGCCUUGGAGGAGGUUCUGCCUGAGGAAGGUCCUCCCUCCUUGGCUUCACUACUCUCGAGCUUUAUCAGGGGCAGAAGCCAUCAAUGCCUUGAGGCCUUUCUACUUUGCAGUUCAUCCUGAUUUCUUUGGACAGCACCCCAGGGAAAGGGAAGUCAAUGAAAAUUCUCUUAAGAGAUUAAGUGUCUAUUUAGAAAAUCUCCAGAAACCAGGCUUCAAGUCUCUGAAACCAACUCAGCUUACAUUUUAUAUAAGAGAAAAAACAGCGCAGAAUUCCUCUGAAGGACAGGAGCCUGUCAGUACUACCGUUUGCCUGUUGAACACGUCCAAAGCUUGAACACUAAUGUGCAUUCCCAGCCUCUCAAGGAAGCUACAGGGAUGCCUGACAGACCCAUCAAAUGGCAUAGGUCCUAUUAUUCCUUUACUGGGUUCAAGGACCCUGACGAAGACCUUGAACAUGUCUCAAGAGUGGAAACAACCCUCACGUCCUGGUUAGGUAGCAAUGGCAAAGGUGCUGUUAAAAAGCUGAAGAACAGUCUGCCACUUAGGA